rnacentral:tRNA from 1 species
UCCCCGAUAGCUCAGUUGGUAGAGCAAGUGACUGUUAAUCACUGGGUCGCAGGUUCGAGUCCUGCUCGGGGAG